rnacentral:rRNA from 1 species
UGGCUCAGGAUGAACGCUGGCGGUAUGCCUAACACAUGCAAGUCGAACGGGCUCUUUAGGGAGCUAGUGGCGGACGGGUGAGUAACGCGUGAGAAUCUGCCUUGAGGUCGGGGACAACAGAGGGAAACUUCUGCUAAUACCGGAUAUGCUGAAAAGUGAAAGAUUUAUUGCCUGAAGAGGAGCUCGCGUCUGAUUAGCUAGUUGGUGAGGUAAAGGCUCACCAAGGCAUCGAUCAGUAGCUGGUCUGAGAGGAUGAGCAGCCACACUGGGACUGAGACACGGCCCAGACUCCUACGGGAGGCAGCAGUGGGGAAUUUUCCGCAAUGGGCGAAAGCCUGACGGAGCAAUACCGCGUGAGGGAGGAAGGCUCUUGGGUUGUAAACCUCUUUUCUUAGGGAAGAACAUAAUGACGGUACCUAAGGAAUAAGCAUCGGCUAACUCCGUGCCAGCAGCCGCGGUAAUACGGAGGAUGCAAGCGUUAUCCGGAAUUAUUGGGCGUAAAGCGUCCGCAGGUGGCCUGGAAAGCCUGCUGUCAAAGACCGAAGCUUAACUUCGGGCAGGCGGUGGAAACUGCUAGGCUAGAGACCGGUAGGGGUAGAGGGAAUUCCCAGUGUAGCGGUGAAAUGCGUAGAGAUUGGGAAGAACACCAGUGGCGAAGGCGCUCUACUGGGCCGGUACUGACACUCAGGGACGAAAGCUAGGGGAGCGAAAGGGAUUAGAUACCCCUGUAGUCCUAGCUG